AAACAUAGUAUUACUGAUAAUGUCUUCGAGAUAUUAGCAGCAGUAUAAAAGAAACGCGAAAAAAUUGAAGUUGCAGUAAAUAUUGCUGCUUAAUUGACGUAUGCGCAAAUGCAAUUCCAGUAUCUAUAUAAUGGCGCGAUUUUACGACAUACGGUUAGUCAUUAAUUUUGAUAAAUAGACAGAACGAAUUGUAUUCCAAGUAUAGCGAUUUGCAUAUCAAAUUGAAAAUUGAAAAAAGAAGAAACGUGUUACAAAUUGAGCUAUUUGCGACAUUAGAAUCCAACGACGUCAGUAACAAAAUUAAACAAAUUUAAAGAAAGAAUUUGGAUUUAACAUUUGAUGUGACACCAUCGAUUUACACGAUUUAUUUCAACAAAAUUUUCCGCAAUUCCAUGGAAAUGGUCAUCAAUCAGCGCAAUUAACGUGCGUCUUGCCCACAUAUAGUGCAAAUGUUCGUCUAUCGUAAUCACGCGAUAUAACAGUGUAAGGAAACGUAACUACAUAAGUAUGCAGCCGACAGUCAUUCGUACUUUCACCGCUGUUCGUGGGUGUAGUUUUGCAAACUUAUCUGCCGCGUGUGUUAUUAUGCUGGAAAGAAAGAAUAGGCUCGUCGAAUCUAAUUAAAACGGGACACAUUUACGCUUCUACAGCCCAGCUAUACGACAUUAAAACAGCACAUGCGACAAUUUUGCGUUUUAUCGUUUACAUCUAACUGCCGUAACAUUCAUUCGUAGCCAUUUGUGUCAUCUUAAAAUUGUCAAGGAUAAAUGGCGAUCGCCAAAUUGCUGUCUCAUGAAGCAAGGAUGCAAAAUAUUUUUAUAGCGGGAUAAUAUAAUAAUAAAGAGCGCUCGUAAUAAUUUACGUUACCAGGUUCCAGGCAUGACACGACAAUUUUUUUUCAAGUAAAUAUAUACAUGUGUGUCGGUGUGUAUUCCCCUUAAUAUCUAAAUAGUCUAUCAAGAUAUCAAGUAUCUUAUCGUACGAACGAUAACGUUUCAGGGGAAUCGUUGAGAAAUCGUUUUUUAAAAAAGUUCAUUACCUACGAGAAACAUCCUUCCUUCGCUGUUACGAGAUGUACUUUGCACAGACCUGUACUCUCAAAAUUCAUCUGUAGCGAACUAAAUAGAGGAGAAGCCUUUCGAAUAACCGAGGUCGCGUGACUAAGCAUCUCAAAUAUGGAUGCGAUAUCUGUUCGCAAACCUCGCCAAGUGAUAAUAAAGCACAUGCGGUCGCGCACGUAACUAUUAAUAGCGGUGGUUUCCGACUUGAUUUUGGGUGACGCUACAAUGUUUUUGUUCUCAAUGCUAUGUUUACGUCAAACGAAAUUUAUUACAUGGUUUUCCUGAGAUCUCGUUACAAUUAUCGAUAUUUCAAUCCGUAGGCGAUACGUUUUUUUCGAAGAUAAAUGCACGAAAUACGAGUACACAGAAGACGAUGAGUACGCGCGAUGACUGAAUGGAAAAUAAUUUGAAACGAUAGUUUAAUGUGUGGAGAGGGAACGACGCGCGUUUGGCAAAAGUUGCAAAACAUUUCAUCGACGUUCAAGUGUUAAUUAAUCACGAUACAAGCGCAAAUUUAUGCGUGCAAAUAGAAGCGUGACUGUAAGACAGAGAAGUAAAAGACGACACACCUGUGUAAGACACGUGACUCGUGACAAGCUCGAAAAGCAAAUAGCCAACGCUUGUUAUCAUAAAUAUCGAGCUGAAUUCAAUAGCCGUAUGCUAGUUAGCCGAGUAUGUCAUGUGGAAUGUGUAAAGAAAACAAUAUUACGAAAUUAGAACGACAGGGCUUCACAACGUUUUAUACAAGUUUGUCCUCCAACCGAUAACCAUUCGCGAUAUCAACAUAAUAACGUCGAAUCGACGACCUACCAUUGGCGAUGAUAUUUGUAAUUUAAAAUAAAAGGCAGGAAGAGAGAGAGAGAGAGAGAGAAAGAGAGACAGAGAGAGAUAGGCUCGAAGAAAUGGCCAGAACGUUAUCACAUGUAACUGCACAAUAAAUCGUACGAUGUAGCAUAAACAGA
rnacentral:lncRNA from 1 species